GGGCAAUCAACCACUUUGACGAUUUCCUACAGUAUUUACAAGUUUGCGGCCUCCUCAUCUUUUAGUUUUGCGAUUCUGAGCGUGAUAACAUAAUCGUGAAAGGUAAUGUGGUUAAAUCAUUGAAUUUUUUGUUCAGUUUUACCCAACUGCCGCCUGCGAAAUUGAAUCUUUUGGUCACCCCUUAAGGCAAGCUGUGAUACGUGAAUGACCCUCACGAAUUUGAGUUCAAGUCUGACGAUAGUAAUUGAUGAUAAUUGCAGGCUGGUCUGUGUUUAAUUCAUCCUUAUAAUGUGCGAUAAUGGCGGUACAACAAAUUACAGAUGUGGACGGAAUAGUGUCGAGUAUAUCAUUGCACACAAAGCAAAAUUCAACAUUUACUCAAUUCAUGCUAACAGAUUUCUGUGAAAUUCAGCAGAUUGCUGAAAUUAUAAUUUUUUAUUUAUGUUUACGGCUCUGGAUUAGCAUUAAGUCAUGCUUAAAAUAAAAGAGAUUAAGAUUAACUGACCAUUCUGAAUUUGAUAAUUUUUCUUCGGCAUUAUUUUCUAUCGGCAUUUUCCAUGAAUUCCUCCACAAGCUGUUGUUCGAAAGUAACACUUCCGAUGUUA